rnacentral:misc_RNA from 1 species
CCGAGUUAUACAACUCAUCAACCCUGUGAACAUACCUAUAACGUCGCCUCGGCGGGAACAGACGGCCCCGUAACACGGGCCGCCCCCGCCAGAGGACCCCCUAACUCUGUUUCUAUAAUGUUUCUUCUGAGUAAACAAGCAAAUAAAUUA